CUGAGGACAGCAGCAUUUGAAGAAGUUUCUGUGGCCAGCCCUUUCCACAGCUCACUCUGGGGCUGAAUACUCUCUUGCCUUCAUCAGCGGAGAUGUUGCACCUGGAUCUGAAUCACUGGAUCAUUUCCUCUCAGAGGACUGAUGACUCGGGUACUUGCAGCCAGUGAUUUCAGGAUUGCUGGUGCUCAUGCUGGAAGUCCUAGAUCCACUGAGGCUGACAAAUCUGAUUAUCCAUCUUCUGUAUAAGACUUAGAGAAAACAAUUGGUGAGUCCUUGGACUUGGAGCUCCACAAGCUUUUUUAUCUGGCAGAGCUUAUGGAAAGAGCCUCCUGGCCCUUCCUUCCUGCCUCGUGCUGUUCUUCCUCUCAAGGCAAAGCUGCAGAGAACCGAGCACAGGUGAAUGUGGCUGCUCUGUGUUUGCUGCUCUAAUGCAAUUGAUUGGCACUGCUGACUUGUCUUCCCAUCCUUUGGACAUGUGAAGAAUGGAUGCAGGCUGGGUCAUCUAGGACUGAGUUGAAUGCUGAGCUGUUCUGUUGACCAGAUGGCUUCAUGAGGUCUGAAAACUGUUACCCGUGCUUACCUUACUCUGCUCAGCCUUCUUCCCUGCAGCUCCCUAGGGAGCCCCACACUG